rnacentral:misc_RNA from 1 species
GAUGAAGAACGUAGCGAAAUGCGAUACUUGGUGUGAAUUGCAGAAUCCCGUGAACCAUCGAGUCUUUGAACGCAAGUUGCGCCCGAAGCCAUUAGGCCGAGGGCACGCCUGCCUGGGCGUCACACGUCGUUGCCCCCCCAUCUGCUCCUUCGGGAUUGCGGGGGGCGGAUGAUGGCCUCCCGUGCGCCUCGUCGCGCGGUUGGCCUAAAUGCCAAGUCCUCGGCGACGCACGCCACGACAAUCGGUGGUUGCGAAACCUCGGUUGCCCGUCGUGUGCGGUCGUCGCGCAUCGAGGGCUCGAAAAAAUUGCCGGGCUUCGGCUCGACUUUCAACGCGACCCCAGGUCAGGCGGGGUUACCCGCUGAAUUUAAGCAUAUCAAUAAGCGGAGGA